ACAAACAGGCCCAAAAUAUCUUGAAGACACCAAAUCAGAUCUGAUCUUAGAAGCUAAGAAGGGUUGUCCCUGGUUAUUACUUGGAUGGGGAUAACCAACAAAUACCAGGUGCUGUAGAUU
rnacentral:rRNA from 1 species